rnacentral:lncRNA from 10 species
GUUUCUGGAGGGUGUGGCCCCCAGAGGGCAUGGAAGCUCUGCACCCCUGCUCCCAUACCUCACCCUACGCAUCUCCUCAUCUGUAUCCUUUGCAAUAUCCUUUGUAAUAAACCGGUUCAAAAAGGCCUUCUUUCAAACCUUCCCCAAAGCCUAUUUUCUGGAACACUAAAAACUCAGGCAAAUUUGAGGUCUAUCAAAUGUAAAAAGUACAGACUCUACUGUGAAUCUCAGAAAUUCUCUAAAUCAUAACACAUUCAAUAGCUGACAGAAGACUUUUGUUUCUCUUUUUCCCAGCAUUUGGGCUAAAGUGAUGAUACGCAAUGCAAGAACGAACUAGCACAACAUCAGUAAGAAAAAAAGGGUGAAAGCUACCUGUUACUACGAGAACAUUUGACUAGAAGUCAAGAAACUAGGAUUCGAGUUCCUGCUCCAGCAAUAAUCAGCUAUGGUUUUAGUUUCCUAAGUUGUACUUGAGUGACUGGAAGGAGAGCUAAACUAUAUACCAAAGAAGAUGAAUGGCUAGUUGUAACAGGGAAAAUUUUAUCAUAAUGAGCAUCAAAAGAAUCCCAAAUGAGAAAACUGCUUUUUGCAUAAGUGUAAAUUAAGAGAUGGAAGUCACAUUUCACCAUGGCAAACAUUUGCUGCAUGCAAAAUGACUGAAACAAGGUCUUGAUCUGUCACCAGGCUGAAGUGCAGUGGUACAAUCAAAGCUCACUGCAGUCUCAACCUCCUAGGCUCAAACAAUCCUCCCACUUCAGCCUCCCAACCAGCUGGGACCACAGGUUGACAUCACCACACCCAGGUA